rnacentral:lncRNA from 10 species
GUAUCUUGGUUCUUGCUUUUUAUUCUUUGCUCAUUUUUCUUUUUGUACAGAACCAUACAGAAUGAAAAUUCCUUCAGAUUCUUUGUAUUCUUUUAUAUCCAUAUAUGCUGGGCUGUUGUAAACAAAUUCCAGGCUGCAGAAAUUCAUAACUGAGGCAAUUGUGAUUGGACUUCAUUCCUUACUGGUUGCCAUAAAAGUACUUCUGUUAGAAUCAUAUUGAUAAUCAGAGCAGCUUGUUUCACAGUGUCUGCAGUCAUUGCACUAGCUAUGUCUCAAAAGAUACAUUGACUAUUUUGUUCAAUGGCUACUAGUUUUUAAGAAAGUCCUAGAAGAGUUUGUGACCUGUAAGCAAUAGUAACACAAUGGUAAGUAUUUAUGUAUCUAAACACCUAAACAUAGAAAAGGUAAUGUGUUGUACUAAGGUGUUAAAACAGGUAUGUCACUAUGCAAUACGAAUUUUUCAGCUCCGUUGUAUAAUACCUAACAAAACUCUACAGAAAGCAGCUGCAAGUGCUGCCUCAAGUACAACAACUAGUGCAGCACAGAAUGCUUUGGGGAAUAAAGAAAUUUG